rnacentral:rRNA from 1 species
AUGUCGAAGCGGCGAGGCCCGUCGUCUUCAGAGGCGGAGCACGACCGGGACCGUGCCUGCACCUGCACGGCCAAGAGGGCGCGGCCGCAGCCGAAGCAGAGGCACGUCUACGUGGCGCUGGAUGACCGGGACAAGGCGUACAGUGUCUACAAGCUGAACGUCGACGGCGAUGGCUCCUCCCAGCAGCGCCUCCCGGAGCCUCCGGUCCUCCGGUUCGAGGUCCCGAAACGCGGGGACACGUGCCUCUUUGCCGCCCUUGACGCAAAGAUCAUCGCCGUCUGUGCCAACCGCUCCCCGACGCUCGUCCACGACACCCACACCGCGGCGCUGGCCGUCGGCCACCGUGCCCCACGCGUGCUGGCCCGCGCGUCCUUCACUGUACCCGCCGCCGGCCGCCUCUACGCGCUGCCUCCCCGCUUCACGGGAGACACUUACUACCUAGAGCCCGAGGAGAUGGCCUUGAGCCCGGACGGCAGGAGCGAUGAGGACGAGAAGAUGAUCAUCGACAGGUGGGUGUGGAAUGCAACCGAUUCGAGGUCGCCCGUCCCGUUCGACUCCAGGGCCGUCACAUGCCACGCGGUGCACCCGGACGGCCGCACGGUCUUCGUCUCCGUGCGCCGCCGGCGUGAUGCCUGGAUGGACCACGGGACCUUCUCCCUCGAUGCCGGACGCUGUGGCGCAGAGUGGACGCAUCACGGCGACUGGAUGCUGCAGUUCAAGGGCCGGGCCUUCUUCGAGCCCCAGCUCGACGCCUGGGUCGGGCUGGACGAGGACGGACACAUCUGCUCCUGCAAUGGCAUGUCGCGCCGCGGGAGCCGUAGGGCGGCGCCGGCGCUGAAAGUCGCGAAGGAGACGCUGCUCCGCGAGCCCGACCAGGGCAGGCGGCUGGACGCCACGCUAGCGCACAUGGGCGACGGGAGGUUUUGCCUGGUGGAGCGCACGUCGCGCAAAGGAGGCGAGGCGAUGAACAUCUUCGGCGACGGUGAUGCGUGCGUGCUUCAUGUCACCACCUUCGCCGUAAGGUACGACAGUCAUGGAGGCCUGACGGUGGCGGAUCGCCGCCAAGCUGGCUCCUACGUGGUGUCCACGCACGAUAGAUUCUUUAAGCUGCAGGCAUUUUUCUUGUGA